CGCUGCUGCAGAGGGGGUGGUGUGGGCAGUCCGACCCCGACCGCCCACACCACCUCCGCGGGGGUCCCCCAGAGCUUGGAAGCUCGAAGUCUGGCUGUGGCCAUGGGAGACACAGUAGGGGAGCCUGCCCCAUUGAAGCCAACUUCUGAGCUGACUCCUGCCCCAGCAGGGAAUAAUGGGGGCUCCUUGCUAAGUGUCACCACGGAGGGGGUCCGGGAACUAUCAGUGAUUGACCCUGAGGUAGCCCAGAAGGCUUGCCAGAAGGUGCUGGAGAAAGCCAAGCUUUUGCAUGGAGGCGUAGCCAUCUCUAGCAGAGGCUCCCCACUGGAGUUGGUCAAUGGGGAUGGUGUGGACAGUGAAAUCCGUUGCCUAGAUGAUCCACCUGCUCAGAUCAGGGAGGAUGAAGAUGAGAUGGGGGCCACUGUGGCCUUGAGCACAGCCAAAGGAGCAAGAAGGCAGCGGCAAAAUAACUCAGCUAAACAGUCAUGGCUGCUGAGGCUGUUUGAAUCAAAACUGUUUGACAUCUCCAUGGCCAUUUCAUACCUUUAUAACUCCAAGGAGCCUGGAGUACAAGCCUACAUUGGCAACCGGCUCUUCUGCUUUCACGAUGAGGACGUGGACUUCUAUCUGCCCCAGCUGCUUAACAUGUACAUCCACAUGGAUGAGGAUGUGAGUGAUGCCAUUAAACCCUACAUAGUCCACCGUUGCCACCAGAGCAUUAACUUUUCCCUCCAGUGUGCCCUGUUGCUUGGGGCCUACUCUUCAGACAUGCACAUUUCCACUCAAUGACACUCCCGUGGGACCAAGCUACGGAAGCUGAUCCUCUCAGAUGAGUUGCAGCCAGCUCACGGAAAGAGGGAACUGCCUUCCUUGAGCCCAACCCCUGACACAGGGCUGUCUCCCUCUAAAAGGACUCACCAGCAUUCUAAGUCAGAUGCCACCGCCAGCAUAAGUCUCAGCAGCAACCUGAAACGAACAGCCAGCAACCCUAAAGUGGAGAAUGAGGAUGAGCCUAUUCGAUUGGCCCCUGAGCAAGAAUUCAUCAAAUCCUUGAUGGCAAUUGGCAAACGGCUUGCCACACUCCCCACCAAAGAGCAGAAAACACAGCGGCUGAUCUCAGAGCUCUCCCUGCUCAACCAUAAGCUCCCUGCCUGAGUUUGGCUGCCCAAUGCUGGCUUUGACCACCACGUGGUCCGCAUACCCCACACACAGGCUGUUGUCCUAAACUCUAAGGACAAGGCUCCCUACCUGAUCUAUAUGGAAGUUCUUGAAUGUGAAAACUUUGACACCACCAGUGUCCCUGCCCAGAUCCCCAAGAACCGAAUUCGGAAUACACGGUCCGUAGAGAACUUGCCCGAAUGUGGUAUCACCCAUGAGCAGUGGGCUGGCAGCUUCAGCACUGUGCCCAACUAUGACAAUGAUGAUGAGGCCUGGUCGGUGGAUGACAUAGGCGAGCUGCAAGUGGAGCUCCCUGAAGUAUACACCAACAGCUGUGACAACAUCUCUCAGUUCUCUGUGGACAGCAUCACCAUUCAAGAGAGCAAGGAGCCUGUGUUUAUUGCAGCGGGGGACAUCCGAAGGCGCCUUUCAGAACAGCUGCCUCACACCCCCACAGCCUUCAAAUGAGACCCAGAAGACCCUUCUGCAGUUGCUCUCAAAGAGCCCUGGCAGGAGAAAGUGCGGCGGAUCAGAGAGGGCUUCCCCUAUGGCCAUCUCCCCAGUUGGUGGCUCCUGUCAAUCAUUGUCAAAUGUGGGGAUGACCUUAGGCAAGAACUGCUGGCCUUCCAGGUGUUAAAGCAACUGCAGUCCAUUUGGGAACAGGAGCGAGUACCCCUCUGGAUCAAGCCAUACAAGAUCCUUGUGAUUUCAACUGAUAGUGGCAUGAUUGAACCAGUGGUCAACGCUAUGUCCAUCUACCAGGUGAAGAAACAGUCACAGCUCUCCUUGAUCGAUUACUUCCGACAGGAGCAUGGCAGUUACACCACUGAGGCAUUCCUCAGUGCCCAGUGCAAUUUUGUGCAAAGUUGCACUGGCUACUGCUUGGUCUGCUACCUGCUGCAAGUCAAGGACAGACACAAUGGGAACAUCCUUUUGGAUGCAGAAUGCCACAUCAUCCACAUCGACUUUGGCUUCAUCCUGUCCAGCUCACCCCGAAACCUGGGCUUUGAGACGUCAGCUGACCACAGAGUUUGUGGAUGUAAUGGGUGGCCUAGAUGGUGACAUGUUCAACUACUAUAAGAUGCUCAUGCUGCAAGGGCUGAUCGACGCUUGAAAACACAGGGAAAAGGUGGUACAGAUCGUGGAGAUCAUGCAGCAAGGUUCACAGCUUCCUUGCUUCCAUGGCUCCAGCACCAUUUGCGACCUCAAAGAGAGGUUCCACAUGAGCAUAACCGAGGAGCAGCUUCAGCUGCUGGUGGAGCAGAUGGUGGACGGCAGCAUGCGGUCCAUCACCACUAAACUCUAUGACGGCUUCCAGUACCUCACCAAUGGCAUCAUGUGAUACCCUCCUUCUCAGGCCUGGGGUUGUGGGGGAUCCAGGGGACCCUCCCAGAGGGGCCCUUAUCUGAGAAUCCCCAAACCAGGAAACCAUCUACCCAACCAUCCACACAAGGAAAUGGAAGG